GGGUGGGCGGGAGGUCCGUGCGGAGGUCCGUCCCGAAAAAAACUGUUGUAGGGGCCCAGUGAUUUUUAACUACGGCGCCACUGGGGAUGUGUCCGGCGCAACGAGAUGGGAUCUCAGCAGAACCGAUGCACAUAGAAGGCUUUUUUCUAUGAAGGAGAGAAGAAGCCUAUAGGCAGAGGAGGGCGUGUCCAUGAAGGUGUGCGUUCUGCAGCGUGUCCUCUGUAGGAAGGAGGUGUAUCUGGCAGAAGGGGAGGGUCUUUCGCGUGUAUGUGAGGGGCGUGUCAUUGUAGGAGGCUUGUUUGUUCUUGUGUGUUUGAGGGGCGGUCCCUUCCGCUCAGGAGGUGGAGCCAAUAUAGAGAAGACCGCAUUUUUUUCAAGCGGCUGGAGCUAUCCGGAAGUGAAAUUGCUGGAUGCCGGAUGAUUUUCUCCAAAAUACAAGUAUUCUCCAGUCAAAUGUUCACUGCAUCCUGCUCAGAGAGAACGAGAAGAAAAGGCGUCAGUUUCACCGAAUCCACGGAGGCAGUAAGCAAAACCUGCACAUUUUAUAAUUUCAAAAAUUUUUCCCUUGUGGCUUUUAAAAACAGGUUGAAAUAAAAUAUUUAAAAAUGA